UACAGAGGUCUCAAGCGUUGUUCGGAUUCAUUGGGCGUAAAGGGUGUGUAGGUGGCGCGCUAAGUCGGGUGUGAAAUUUCGGAGCUUAACUCCGAAACUGCAUUCGAUACUGGCGUGCUUGAGGACUGGAGAGGAGACUGGAAUUUACGGUGUAGCGGUGAAAUGCGUAGAUAUCGUAAGGAAGACCAGUGGCGAAGGCGAGUCCCUAGACAACUCCUGACACUGAGGCACGAAAGCUAGGGGAGCAAACAGG
rnacentral:rRNA from 1 species